GAGCCCGCGCUCGGCCCGCAGGACGUGGAGACCACGUACUUCUGCAACACGUGCGGACAGCCGCUGUGCGCGCGCUGCCGCGACGAGACGCACCGAGCACGCAUGUUCGCGCGCCACGACAUCGUGGCCCUGGGUCAGCGAAGCCGCGACGUGCCCCAGAAGUGCAGCCGUGAAGGCCCUGCAGACGGCCACGCGGGAGGCCAUCGCGCUGCUGCAGGCCAUGGUGGAGGAGGUGCGGCACAGCGCCGCCGAGGAGGAGGACGCUAUCCACGCCCUCUUCGGCAGCAUGCAGGACAGGCUGGCAGAGAGGAAAGCGCUGCUGCUGCAGGCUGUGCAGAGCCAAUACGAAGAGAAGGACAAGGCCUUCAAGGAGCAGCUCUCUCACUUGGCCACCUUGCUGCCCACCCUGCAGGUACAGGGAGCUCGGGGUGCGGGUGGGUCCCUCCUCCCCGGCCAGGCACUGAGCAGCAUCCCCUCCCCCAGGUCCACCUGGUCAUCUGCUCCUCCUUCCUCAGCUUGGCCAACAAGGCUGAGUUCCUGGACCUGGGCUAUGCUGGCAGGGGGCUUAGGCCCCAAGGCGCUGACGGGGCCCCACUGCCCCUCCCCAGUAGGAAAGAUGUCGGGGUCACCCGUCCAAAAGCCCACGCUGCACCGGUCCAUCAGCACCAAGGUGCUGCUGGCGGAGGGCGAGAACACGCCCUUCACAGAGCACUGCCGCCACUAUGAGGACUCCUACCGGCCUCUCUGUGCAGCACCUGCAGGCAGAGAUGCAGAGCCUAAAGGACCAGGUACAGGAGCUGCACCGAGACCUCACCAAGCACCACUCGCUCAUCAAGGCGGAGAUCAUGGGAGACGUCCUGCGCAAGUCCCUGCAACUGGACGUGCAGAUCGCCUCAGAGCACGCCUCCUUAGAGGGCAUGAGGGUCGCCUUCCAGGAGAUUUGGGAGGAAGCCUAUCAGCGAGUGGCUAAUGAGCAGGAGAUUUAUGAAGGUUCCAGACAGUUGGCUGCUGAGUGAACCCUCUGUCCCUGAGCUAACUAACCCACAUACUAGCAGAGGAGGAAGUCAGAGUCGGCCACUAACCAGAUGCAAAUCCCCACGCUCUUCCCCUUAGCGCUUGACCGUGCCUCCCAGCUGCUAACUGGCCUCCAAUGAUGCAUGUGAGGUCAGGAUUCAUUGAGUAGAAUGCCCUCACCAAGUGCCUCCCUCUUUCAUUAGAGGUCAUCAUGGAAAUGGUCGGGAUAUUUACGUGGUGCCUGGCUUGAGUAAAAAUCUGAAGCCAGGUGCUUCAGGAUUAAGACCCCAUGCUCUGGCCUUGGCCCCACAGCCCAGCUCCAUGACCUUCUCCAGCUGAGGCAGGAGAAUGCCUACCUGACCACCAUCACCAAGCAGAUCACGCCCUACGUCCGCUCCAUUGCCAAGGUGAAGGAGCGGCUGGAGCCCAGGUUUCAGGCACCCGUGGAUGAGCAGUCAGAGAGUCUACAGAACACGCACGACAACAGCAGGAACAGCGCGGCCUCAGCCAGGAAUAAUCCAGGAAGUGUCCCGGAAAAGAGAGAGAAGACAUCAGAGCCUAAAGGAGACAGCUGGGCUCCGAACGGCCUCUCAGAAGAGCCUCUACUGAAAAAUAUGGAUCAUCACAGAUCCAAACAGAAAAAUGGGGGUGAUGUCCCCACAUGGAGGGAACACCCGACUUAGCAAAUGGGACCGGUCCCCAGGGUCAGGCUCUUAGAGCAGGCACAAGACUGGGACACUGGACAGAAGGUUGUUCCCAUGAUGGUUUUUUUUAUUUUUUACUUUUGAGAUGGAGUUUCGCUCUGUUGCCCAGGCUGGAGUGUAAUGGUGCGAUCUCGGCUCACUGCAACCUCUGCCUCCUGGGUUCAAGCGAUUCUCCUGCCUCAGCCUCCCGAGUAGCUGGGAUUACAGGCGCCUGACACCACGCCCCACUAAUUUUUUGUAUUUUUAGUAGAGAUGGGGUUUCACCAUGUUGGCCAGGCUGGUCUCAAACUCCAGACCUCAGGUGAUCCACCUGCCUCAGCCUCCCAAAGUGCUGAGAUUACAGGGGUGAGUCACCGUGCCUGGCCAAUGUUGUUGUUGUUUUUAAGACAGAAUUUCACUCUUUGUUGCUCAGGCUGGAGUGCAAUGGCGCAAUCUCUGGCUCACCGCAACCUCCGCCUCCCAGGUUCAAGCGAUUCUCCUACCUCAGCCCCCAGAGUAGCUGGGAUUACAGGCAUGUACCAUCACACCCGGCUAAUUUUUUGUAUUUUUAGUAGAGAGGGGGUUUCUCCAUGUUGGUCAGGCUGGUCUCGAACUCCCAACCUCAGGUGAUCCGCCCACCUCGGCCUCCCAAAAUGCUGGGAUUACAGGGUAAGCCACUGUGCCCGGCCGGUUAUUUCUUUAAAAGGUAAUCAUUUGUCAAGAGUAAAACCCAGAAGCUCUGACAGGCCAUAAUUUCAGAUCCUUUGGCUUGGGCAGUUUUGAUUUUCCCCGUGUUUGCAUGGCACGAAGUCUUCGUCCUUGUCACAGUAGCUUGGGAUGACUCCCACUCCACAUGGAAAACAUCAGGGAGUGACAAUCCAACAAGAAAUCCCUCGCUAGUUCCACACCUACACACCGAGCGUCUGUGUGCCAGGCCCUGUGCUGGGCAGAGUGUGGUAUGUCAGGGUGUGCCGGUUUUAGGUAACAAGACUCCACCACUGAGUGGCACCUGCCCUAUCGCAAAGGAAUCCAGUUCCUCCGGAAUAACAGUCCCACUGUUAACCUGGUGCUACUGGGAAGUUCCACCCAGUAAUCUGAGCAGUGACUCAUGGAAGGAUGAGGAACGUUUGCUCCAGCUUCUCUCCCUUUCCAGCAAGGGCAGAGCUCCUAAAGCCAGGGGUUAGCACCUGGCCAGCUUAUGUGGCAGAUGGUCUCAGUUACAACUUCGCUGCUUUCCCAAACUCCUGCAGCCCUCCUGAGUCCGCCUUCCAUUGACAGCAAGGCACUGGGCGGCAGCGACCUUUUUUCUAGUAGUUUUUUCCCAGCAGUUUUCCAUUUCUCCACAGUACCCUUUUCAUUUAGAGGAGCUUAAUAAAUGCUUUUUAAAAAGUAACCCA
rnacentral:sRNA from 1 species